UGAAUCGCUAGUAAUCGCGGAUCAGCACGCCGCGGUGAAUACGUUCCCGGGCCUUGUACACACCGCCCGUCACACCAUGGAAGUCUGCAAUGCCCAAAGCCGGUGGCCUAACCUUCGGGAAGGAGCCGUCUAAGGCAGGGCAGAUGACUGGGGUGAAGUCGUAACAAGGUAGCCGUAGGAGAACCUGCGGCUGGAUCACCUCCUUU
rnacentral:rRNA from 1 species